rnacentral:tmRNA from 1 species
GGGGCCGACUGGUUUUGACAGCGAGACCAAUGGUGAUGUAAGCAUGCCGAGCGCUGGGAUACAGCUCGUUAAUCUCAUAUUUCACACUUUUAAUUGGCGAUAAUAACUACGCUCUUGCCGCUUAAUCUGAAUUAUAGUAGGAUUUAGCCUCGUCUCCGCAAGGCGGAGAAGCGAGAUGUCCCUGGAUAGCCCUUGUUGACGGCGAUCCAUUCAGGGGCACCAUAAAAGUCAACACAAGGCCGUUAGCGCUUCGAUAGCGGCACCAAAACGUAAGAAGCUAAGCGUUCGUUAGGCCGUUUCCGGUCAGGCGUGCGUCGAAAACCAAACGGAAACUAAGCAUGUAGAAAGCAUUUUCGUUGCUUGUUUGGACGAGGGUUCGAAUCCCUCCGGCUCCACUU